AUUGAACGCUGGCGGCAGGCCUAACACAUGCAAGUCGAGCGAGCGGCGGACGGGUGAGUAAUGUCUGGGAAACUGCCUGAUGGAGGGGGAUAACUCCUGGAAACGGUAGCUAAUACCGAAUAACAUCCGCUGUGCCCAGAUGGGAUGAGCUAGUAGGUGGGGUAACGGCUCACCUAGGCGACGAUCUCUAGCUGGUGUGCGAGGAUGACCAGCCACACUGUAACUGAGACACGGUCCAGACUCCUACGGGAGGCAGCAGUGGGGAAUAUUUCACAAUGGGCGCAAGCCUGAUGCAGCCAUGCCGCGUGUGGGAAGAAGGCCUUCGGGUUGUAAAGCACUUUCAGCGGGGAGGCGUUACCCGCAGAAGAAGCACCGGCUAACUCCGUGCCAGCAGCCGCGGUAAUUC
rnacentral:rRNA from 1 species